AGCAGCCGCGGUAAUUCCAGCUCCAAUAGCGUAUAUUAAAGUUGUUGCAGUUAAAAAGCUCGUAGUUGAAUUUCGGGGUUAGUAGGUUGGUCAUGCCUCUGGUAUGUACUGGUCUCGCUGAUUCCUCCUUCCUGAUGAGCCGUAAUGCCAUUAAUUUGGUGUUGCGGGGAAUUUGGACUGUUACUUUGAAAAAAUUUAGAGUGUUUAAAGCAAGCUAACGCUUGAAUACAUUAGCAUGGAAUAAUGAAAUAGGACGUUUGAUUCUAUUUUGUUGGUUUCUAGGAUCGACGUAAUGAUUAAUAGUGAUAGUUGGGGGCAUUAGUAUUCAAUUGUCAGAGGUGAAAUUCUUGGAUUCAUUGAAGACUAACUACUGCGAAAGCAUUUGCCAAGGAUGUUUUCAUUAAUCAAGAACGAAAGUUAGGGGAUCGAAGACGAUCAGAUACCGUCGUAGUCUUAACCAUAAACUAUGCCGACUAGGAAUCGGAUGAUGUUAAUUUUUUAAUGACUCACUCGGCGCCUU
rnacentral:rRNA from 1 species